CUGUGUGGUGCUGGGUGUGAGUCGGAGCUAGCCUGGGUUUACCAGGGUUGCAGGGUCACCUCUCACCGCACCCUCAUCGGUCCUCAAAUAGGGGUGCAACUCUUCCACAAAGGGCAGUGAAGAGACUGAGCUACUGGACACCAAGCUGUGUGGGAUUGAACCCAUUCCUGUCCAAACAGGAGUUUCCCAGAGGGACUCUGAAAAUUAUAGAAGCCAAGAGAUUUCAUCAUCUUUAUUCAAAGAAAGGGUUUUUUUUUGUUUGUUUGUUUGUUUUGGAUUUUUUUGUGGGGGGGACCACAUCUCUACUCCCGGAAGAGUAAGGAUUACAAAGUAAAUCAGAUGGAAAAAGAAUCGCAAAUUAGCAUAAUGUUAAGUGCAUGAGCUUUGGAAUAAGUGAACCUCGAAUUAAAACUUCCAUGUAUUAUAUUAGCUCUGUGGCUGUAACACUAACCUUUGCAAGCUUCAGCUUCCUCAUCUGUGAAAUGGAAUCAUAGUAGUACGUACCUCACUGGCUGCUACAUGGAUGAAAUGAGACCACGCCUAUGGAUGUAACGCCUUUGGCACCCAAUAACCACUCAAUAAUCGGCAGCUAUAAUUAUUCAUAAUAAUAACGGUGGUAGCAACAAACCGAGCUCAAACAUCUGAAUGAUCGAUCACUAAAAACAAGGGGAAGUCAGUUCUAUGUAGUAACAAGGAUGGGACAUUCAUGUUGUUGACAAAAGUCUGCAGGGGUUGCCAGUACCAGAGAGACACUGGGUGGUGAGGCUGGUCUGGAAGAGAGAGGGAACAAAUGUCAAGAACCCCCAACCCUGAGGUGGAAAGUUCUGCGAUUGAUCCGGAUGAAUGUCCCUAACCUCCGCCUCUUCUGUUCUCAGUUUUAAUGGGGUACACCGUGUACUGGGCACUGACAUAGGAGACGUAUGACCUACAAUAAGGGCUGGAAGUCAGUACUGGAAGGAAGGUACGGGGAGUGGGCAGCCUGGCACCAGGUGCCAGUGAGGUGUCUGCUCUUUGUCCCCACCACCUGUCAGCUAAGGAAUUGUGCCUGUCAUCAGUGCAAUAAAAUGUGAUCGCCAGAGUGAAAGCCUUGUCACAGACCAGCUGUGGCUUCUCUCAACACCAGUAUGUUCAAGGAGGAUGCAUUUUUAGUGCUUUUGUGGUCUUGAUCAAAAAAGAGUCUUGAGCAUUGUAUAAAAUGUAUACACAAUUAAAUAAAAGUAUGAAAG